rnacentral:tRNA from 1 species
UGAUGUAGCUCAAUUGGUAGAGCAACUGACUUGUAAUCAGUAGGUUGUAGGUUCAAGUCCUAUCAUCA